GCACCCGUAGCUCAGUGGAUUAGAGCAUCUGUCUUCGGAACAGAGGGUCGUAGGUUCGAAUCCUUCCGGGUGUACCA
rnacentral:tRNA from 3 species